CCCAUUUACACACCUGUUCCCACUUCUCUCAUCAGCCAUGCAGUUACCAGGGCCCAAUCCCAAUGUUCACACUCAAAAACUCAAUGACUUUGACGCAUGUUCCCGACUUUGCCUGAGGGAAUUGCUCACAGUUCAUAGCGUUGUGACCUGAAGCACGGGGGUUACCAGGGGCAACCCGGAAGCAAGAGAAAAAUCAGGCAAGAGAAGAAGAACGGUAAACGAACAAGCAUGGAAACCAACGCUGAUGUUAAAAUUAGGAUGUCUGGAUGUGGUGCUUGCUUCUGCUGGCAGGUCCAAUCGGCAAACCACUCGUGGCUGCGCUACACACCUGAGACUCAUCCCACAAUCAACCCCUGCUGUUCAUAAACCCCGGCUUAGCACUUAAUUCUUUGCUAGAUCCAUCGGUUUGCUUCCAGUGGUACACUUGUAACUGCCUUAUAGCGUAUAGACUAGUUUCUGACUUUUAGCGGCUAAGUUUUCCUAACAUCCUGUCUUUGCUUGUUGUUCAGGUUUUUUGGUCUUUGAGUUGGAGAGCUGUUCUUUUUGCCCUGUCUCCACCUGCCUGCCCAGCUCAUGCUACCUGCCUGUCUCCAUCUGGAGAUUCCCCUUGCACAUUAUUUGUACUAUUAAUAAAUCUCCUUUUUACCACAGAGUUCUCUCAGCUACCAAACCCUAAACCGACUACUUGCCUUAUUUACACCCUAAUAUCUUAACAUUUUAAUAAAGAACUU